CCUACGGGAGGCAGCAGUGGGGAAUAUUGGACAAUGGGCGCAAGCCUGAUCCAGCCAUGCCGCGUGAGUGAUGAAGGCCCUAGGGUUGUAAAGCUCUUUCGCCAGGGACGAUAAUGACGGUACCUGGAUAAGAAGCCCCGGCUAACUUCGUGCCAGCAGCCGCGGUAAUACGAAGGGGGCUAGCGUUGUUCGGAAUUACUGGGCGUAAAGCGCAUGCAGGCGGAUCGCUAAGUCGGGGGUGAAAGCCCGAGGCUCAACCUCGGAACUGCCUUCGAUACUGGCGAUCUCGAGUCCGGGAGAGGUGAGUGGAACUCCGAGUGUAGAGGUGAAAUUCGUAGAUAUUCGGAAGAACACCAGUGGCGAAGGCGGCUCACUGGCCCGGUACUGACGCUGAGAUGCGAAAGCGUGGGGAGCAAACAGGAUUAGAUACCCUGGUAGUCCACGCCGUAAACGAUGGAUGCUAGCCGUCAGCCAGCAUGCUGGUUGGUGGCGCAGCUAACGCAUUAAGCAUCCCGCCUGGGGAGUACGAUCGCAAGAUUAAAACUCAAAGGAAUUGACGG
rnacentral:rRNA from 1 species